CAGCAGCCACGGGAAUACGAAGGGGGCUAGCGUUGUUCGGAUUUACUGGGCGUAAAGCGCACGUAGGCGGACUUUUAAGUCAGGGGUGAAAUCCCGGGGCUCAACCCCGGAACUGCCUUUGAUACUGGAAGUCUUGAGUAUGGUAGAGGUGAGUGGAAUUCCGAGUGUAGAGGUGAAAUUCGUAGAUAUUCGGAGGAACACCAGUGGCGAAGGCGGCUUACUGGACCAUUACUGACGCUGAGGUGCGAAAGCGUGGGGAGCAAACAGGAUUAGAUACCCCUGUAGUCCCUGUCUCUUAUAA
rnacentral:rRNA from 1 species